rfam:Caminicella sporogenes DSM 14501 genome assembly, contig: EJ28DRAFT_scaffold00010.10
UAAGCCUUUAAAUUGGUCCAGAGAGGCCGGUAAGGUAGAUGGUUUUAGGUUUUAAAUAGGUGAGCUGUGCCUGUCGAUAGGUAAAUUAUACCUUCUGCUUCUCUAGCAGAAGGUUUUAUUUUU